AGAAAUCCUCACUGUCAUUCUGCCUGCAACAAUCAUCAAAAUAAUGAUCAUCUUUGCGAAACUAUCUUUAAAUUUAGUGCAACCCUCUGUGAGUGGAACCCUAAACCCAAAAAGCUGUUACAACUUUCUGCUCUGCCAAAAAACGCUUCAACAAUGCGCUGGAUGAUCAUCUUUGCAAAAAUAUCUGUCAAUUUGAGACACCCCUCAAAGGAAGAUGCUCUCUCCCUUGCGCUUCGAUUUCGCACAUUCAAAUUUCACAUUAAUUUGAAUUUGGUUUUUUGGCAUGCAAAAAGGGUUUAGGCAUUUUUACAUAGUUGAUUGCAUCUUCAAUAGGCGAUCAAUAUUGUCUUUUGUGCUUAGGAUGAUGCGAGCAGCAGCAGCAACAGAAUUUCCAUGGGAAAGAAAAAUCUCUGCGUAACCCCUUCCUGCGUGGAAUGAUGGCC
rnacentral:lncRNA from 1 species